UACGAAGGGGGCUAGCGUUGCUCGGAAUCACUGGGCGUAAAGGGUGCGUAGGCGGGUCUUUAAGUCAGGGGUGAAAUCCUGGAGCUCAACUCCAGAACUGCCUUCGAUACUGGGAGUCUCGAGUCCGGGAGAGGUGAGUGGAACUGCGAGUGUAGAGGUGAAAUUCGUAGAUAUUCGCAAGAACACCAGUGGCGAAGGCGGCUCACUGGCCCGGUACUGACGCUGAGGUGCGAAAGCGUGGGGAGC
rnacentral:rRNA from 1 species